rnacentral:rRNA from 1 species
ACGGAGGAUGCAAGCGUUAUCCGGAUUUAUUGGGUUUAAAGGGUGCGUAGGCGGAUUGAUAAGUCAGUGGUGAAAACCUACAGCUUAACUGGAGAACUGCCAUUGAUACUGUUAGUCUUGAGUACGGUCGAGGUAGGCGGAAUGUGUGAUGUAGAGGUGAAAUGCUUAGAUAUUACGCGGAACACCGAUUGCGAAGGCAGCUUACUGGAACAUUACUGACGCUGAGGCACGAAAGCGUGGGGAGCGAACAG